ACGGGACGGCUGGGCCGGGCGCGGCGCGUCCCCUCGCGGCCCACUGCGCCCUCGAACUCUGGGCCUCGCGAGCGGCGGGCGGCACCCGCUGUAAUGCGGGGAAUGUGAGAGAUAGAGAAACACAUAACUGAAAAUGAAAACGUUUGUCUGCAUACCACGAAACCCCCUUGUGCACUCCCAGAAGCAUGUGUCUCCUACUUUGGGAAACACAGAUCUGACUGAAACCUCUCUGCAGCAGCUCAGAAAGAGAUUUGGGACUUGGUCUGAGAGGUUGAGGAAACUGAGGUACAGAGGAAGAAGCUUUGCCCAGGGCCACGUGGAGGAGGGAGAGCUGGGAGUUAACUCGCCUCCUUGGACUUUGAGCUGAGCUUAUAUCCUGCACCAUGGAGGCCUCAGAGCCUUUCCAAGGAGCCAGAACUUCCUAGCACCCUCCCCUACUCACAGAGGACAGAGCGUCUGGUCUAGAGGAACCCUUGGAGAAUAUAUAAUGAAGGAAUAAAACAGGAUGCCUGGCCUCCUGCGCCCACAGGCCCUGAAGCUCCAGUGCCCACAGGUGGAGAGGGCAACUGAAUCCAGCUCAGGCUAAGCCCCACCCAGCUGUACUUCCCAGACACCCACCCAACCCUAGGAAUCCUGUUCAUCUUCUUCACCGAUAUGGUUUGUGGACUCUGAUGAGCCAAAUCUGAUGUCAGUUCUGGAACGUCUAGAAGAUACUAAGAACAACAAUUUGAAUAGGACAACAGAAGAAGUGACUUCAAAAGAAAAGGAAGAAGAGAUGGCUGAAGCUGCAGUGUCUGGGUCAGUGCAAGCUUCAGAUAGAUUUAUGAAAGAACUCGGGACCAUAUAUAGAUCACAGAGUUAUAAGACAGGUCCGUCGGAAUUUUUUUGUCAUCUUCCUGAUAGAGUGAACAUUUACAUGAUUUUUAUCUUCUGGCAAAAAGCUUGAACAAUAUUGCCUGGGUUGACCCUGACAGUGCUUUGCACAGUGAUCUUCAGAUUGUAAAAGAAAAAGAAGGGAUAGGAGACAUUUUGCUCAACUUAUCUUUUAAGAUUCAUAUGGGGGAAUGAAUGAAGCACACAGGCCUACAACAAAAAACAAAACACGAAAAAAACAGGAAGAUGGAGUCUCGCUCUGUCGCCCAGGCUGGAGUGCAGUGGC